rnacentral:rRNA from 1 species
UACGUAGGGUGCAAGCGUUGUCCGGAAUUAUUGGGCGUAAAGAGCUCGUAGGCGGCUUGUCGCGUCGACUGUGAAAACCCGUGGCUCAACCAUGUGGUCUGCAGUCGAUACGGGCAGGCUAGAAUUCGGUAGGGGAGACUGGAAUUCCUGGUGUAGCGGUGAAAUGCGCAGAUAUCAGGAGGAACACCGGUGGCGAAGGCGGGUCUCUGGGCCGAUAUUGACGCUGAGGAGCGAAAGCGUGGGUAGCGAACAGG